ACUGGCAGACUAUUGCAAAAAGGGCACGGGGCAGAGGGACUAUGUUGUGAGCCUGCGAAAGAAGUUUGUGUGGGGACUGUGGGCAGUGAACGCGUUGGGAACAAUAUGGAAAACUGGGAGCCGCCUUGGAAUCUACAGGGCCGGGUAAGAGAAUGUCCGAAAGAAAAAUGAGCAGGUGCGGGAUGUGCGCAGAGUCGGAGAAGAGUCCAGGGCGCCCGGAGUGGCUCCAGGAACGACGGAAACCCCUCAGGGCUUUUGGGGGCGGUGGGUACUAAUAGAACCCAGUGUCCGGGGUGCGCCGGGGAGGCUGCGAGCGCGGCGGGAGUGGGGCGCUGGAGGGUGAGGACGCGGGAGUGAGGGAGCAAAGCCGGGCAGGGGCCUCCCAGCUGGGCCCGGAGGCAGCAGGCGGACAAGGGCCAGGAGAGGGCGCGGCGGCGGCGCGGCGGGAAGCGAGGGGCAUCCGGACACUCGCCCCGUUGGCCGCGGCCAUCGGCCCCCCGACCUCGACGGCCGUCCUGCCGAAGUACCUGCCGUCGCUGCCCACCCCCGUGGUGCGGCCCUGACGGUCGCGCAGGUCGACGGACGACAGCGCGCUCCGGAUGAAGUUGGGCGGGUAGCUGCGCUGGCCCUGGAAGAGGCCGGUGGGUCGCCGGUCCUCGCAGGGCGCGGUGGGCACUGUCCGCACCGGGAUGCGACUCCCCUCCGCGGCGCCUCCCGGCCGGUCCUGCUGCGGCUCCCGGGGCCGGAGGGAAUCUGCAGCCGGCCGGGGGCCUCCGCCAGCCUGGCUGCGCGCCGGGACUCCGCCUCGCGCCCGGGCCCCUCUCCAGCAGGUCGGCGCCCCGCGCCCUGCACCCGCCCGCCUGGGGACCGCCCGCCCCUCCUCUCCGCGCGGCCGCUCGCUGACUCCCUCGGCAGGGAUCGCUUCUGCCUCGCUGCCAAGUUUUCUCCCGCCCACCUUCUCCGCUGCCAGACCGCCCGAGCUGCCCUCAGUUUCUCCCCAAGUUGGACUCACUUUCGGGGUGUCCCACAAGCCCGAUCCCAGAGCCUGCUAGCCCGACCCCGGCGACGCCUCCACCCGCGCCUGGCCGCAGCCUCCACCCGCGCUCGCCGCCCUCCGGGGCGCACCCUCCGCCAGAAAACAGCCGGCGGGCGGCGAGACUUCGGGCAGAGUGCGGGCUCCUCUCCGGCGCCAGGCCCGUCCCCUGUCUCCCUGGGAGUGCGCAGCCUACACGCACCAGUUUCUCUUUAGAACAAGGACUGGGAGGGAUUUGCGAGGGGGCUGAAACCUUUUGCCAUCAGCGAACAGCCUCAGCCAAAAACAACCCUGGAAAGGCGAGCUAAGAAUGGUUAUCUCCUGCCAGCGCUGAAAUCGGAGGCCGGGCGCUGCGUGUGGGGUGUGUGUGUGUGUGUGUGUGUGUCUGUGUACCCUCCCACCCCGACCAUUUGUUGAAGGGAAUCACCACUGUCAGACUUCAAUCCAACAGGACCCACUCGAGCCAUCCACACUUGCCCCAGCCUCCUCCAAAACAGCACACUUUCCGGCUGAAGAAAAGAAGAAUGGUAUUCACGCAGUUCCCAUUUUACAGAUGAAAACAAGAGGACUUUUUCUGUGAAGUCAAGAAAGUGGUUACAAUGGUACUUUCAGCCUGUCCGAAUUAUGUAUUGCCCCUCCCCUUUUUAUUAAUAACAUUGAAGUGUGAUGGGACAACCACUGAAGCCGUCAGUUGAAACCUGCUGGGACUUUUUAGCCAUUCUCUUCAACAUAAAGAAUGGGUGUUUUUGGAGGGGGUGAGAGGAAUGGGGAAAUGUUGUCAAAGAGUACAAUGUUUUAGUUGAGACAGGAAGAAUAUAUUUUGUUGAGAUCUACAGCACAGCAUGGUGACUGUAGUUAACAAUGAAGUAUUGUGUAUUUCCAAAUUGCUAAGACAAUAAAUUUCAAAUGUUCUCACCACAAAAAAGAUAGGUUUUGAG
rnacentral:lncRNA from 1 species